rnacentral:misc_RNA from 1 species
AAAAAAAAAAAAAAAGGAAAAAGAGAAGGAACUUUGGAAAGAAGUAGGCAACAAGGUUGGCUUGAAGACAAAGCAAAACCCAAAGAAAAUUCCUUAGUUCCCUAAGGAAAAAUCUUCUAAAUCAACAAAAAAAAAAAAGUUAAAGAAACGGAUUUCGACUGGUCAGUAUGGCUCUGCUUUUCUGAAGAGGCAUGGCUCUGCUGCGGAUCUUCG